CAUUGAUUUGGGGAAUUCUUGAAAUGAGAAUACCUGAUGGCUGGCUGGCAGCCAGGUGAGCGACCUCCUACUCCCAGACCUCAUCUCUGUAUUCUUAUGUAAUCCAUGUCCUAAUGUAUGUGUACCAUGUUUUCUUAGAUCAUUUAUGUGUAUAAAUGAUGCCAUGAUACUGUAUGCGGCAUUUUAUUGAGAGGGUGCGAACUGAAAGUGUGAAACAGUUGUUUACGUGUUCAUGUUCUUCAACAGUUAUUCUUCCGACUGUUAGAUGCUUUGCCGAAACAUUCAAGGACAUCUGGUAGAAAACAUCUUCAGCCAUGGGUUUUCUGCACAUAUAUUUUUCAGCAUCAAUGUUGCAGUGCUGGAGGCACUCAACUCAAAAUGGCAGGGUAGAAGGAAUAUGUGGAGUACGCUGAGGGACGGGCAGCUGGCUUUUAUACGCGGUUGACAGUUUCGACGAUGAUUGAUAUGAUGCCCUUGUAUAUGUACGAGAGCAUUGGGUCGGAGAGUAGCUGGAGCAGGAAGGUAACAAGGCAACAUCCUUUCACUCU